UUUUACACAAGUAGAAGCCCAAAAUCGGGCAGCCCAUUCCAUUCCAUAACCCCAACCCUUUGGCCUGCCGGAUCGACCCAUCUACCCCCCCAUUUUACCCUUUAAUCUCGGCCAUCCAUUCACCAAAUCCAACAGUCCACAUUAUUUCCCCACACCCAAAUACAAACUCAGUUAUAUCACUCCAAUCUCUAACCCUAAAGACUAAACCAACCGUACCCUCUUCUCCCUCACACCUUCUGCUACCAUAACCCAGCCCAAACCUCACCAUAAACGAACCCCCAUGGUCCCCCCUCCUCUCCUUUCUCUCUUCCACGUCAUCAUGACCAUAACGAUCUCUGUCAGAAGAAAUUCCAUUUUUCCCCUUUCCACGCGCUCUUGCUUCCCUUGGAUGGAAUUCGAAUUAGUGGUAGACGUAGGAUUUGAAAACUUUAAAUCCUAGUCUUUCAUUUGUCUUAGAACCAUCCAGAAAGGAGAACAAGAGGGGAUUUUCGUUUGGGGGCAGGGGAUUUUCGGAACUUAUUGAAGGGCAAAUUCGGGUUUUUGGAGAGAUUUCUUAUUGAAGAAGGAGAAGUUUCGAGAGGGAGCUAUAUAUUUGGGGUCUGGACAGAGAUGGGUUUUUUUUUUCUUUUUUUUUUGGGUUUUAUUUUUUUCGGAGAAAAUUGACGAAAAGAAAGGAGGCUUUGUUCUUAGCUUUUGAAUUUUUAUUUUCUAUUUUCCUUUGAAUUCCAUAGAAAGAUAUAAAAAAAUACCAAAAAAUUUCAAUUCUGUCGUUUUUCUUAAUUUGUUACAAAGGCCAGAAAAUUCAAAAAGAAAGGGUUUCGUUCUUCUUCUGGAAUUCAACUGAGGUAUUAGGAGUUUGAUUGACUGGACUUGUCAUUCGAAGUCGAGUUCGCUGUUCCUGUUCAAUCUAGUUGCUGCUUUUCUCGUUCGGAUUUUGGAUUCAGAGCAUUGUCGCUGGUUCUCAUAAUUAUCCGCUACUAAGAAGGAACUCGCAUUCUCAGGUUCAUUCCCACUAUUCAUCUAUCUUAGUUUUCAUAGUAAAUUUAGCCGGAAGAGCCAUUUUAGGACCGGUUUGUUGGUAUCAUGUUUUAAUCUAUUACAUACAUAGUUAUGUUAGCAGGGGUUUGUUAAUCCCGUUUUGAUUUAAUCUGUGCCAUUGUGAUUGUUAGUCUCUUUUAGUAGCUUGUUCGUAUUUUGGAAAUGAAUUAUGUUUCAAUUUUCUUGGAUCUUAUACUGUCGUAAUGUUAUAAUAGAGAGUGUUGUGCUUGAUUGUUUGAAUAUUGUUCCAAACAUAGUGUCGAUAAUGACUAUUCUUUCAAAGUUAAGCAAAGUUCUGUUACCUUGGACCUAUCUCACAAAGUUCCGUUAAGAUUUAAGCUACUUGCCAUGAUUUGCUCAUUUUAGACAUAGACAAAUGAUAUGUAAAGCAAGCUUCUGCAGCUAUGUAUGUGUUUAGCACUGCUCUGGAUUGAAUACAACUAUCUGUUGAUGUUGCUGAUGACCCUACGUGAAGUGUCUUACUUUGUCAUUUAAUUUAAGCCCUCAUCAUACCCUACAAUUUACUUAACAUCUCUUGAACUUUCUGUUGAAAACUAUUAUUGGAAGAUGGAAACAUAUGGAACAGUGACAUUUAACUUGCCUAAUAUUUGUUCUAGUUAAUUUCUGAAUGAGUAUUACGUGAACAACAUUUAAAAUGGAUUUGUUUAGUCUCAUGAAAGUUCUGGGCGGGUUAGCAAUCUUUGAAUGGCUCUUCCAAAUGGCUAUAAUUUGCAUUUCUUUAACUCAUAGUAACUAUUAUUUUAGUUUUGUUUAGUUCAUAUUUUCUAUGAAUGCUCAAUACUUUAUACCAGAUGAUUUGUCUUGUUAAUUACUGUUGUUUGACUGUGAGUUUUAUUGAAUUAUGGAUAUUGGGACCGUGGGAAUGGGGGAAGGCCGAAACCCAUUAGCAAUUGAUUUGUCUUCAUGCUUUAGUUAUUGGGCUCGGUCUAAUAAUAAAAAUGAGAAGUUGAGAAAGGAAUGAGCAUGAUUUAGAAUUUUCUUCUACCUUAUUUAGUUUUCUUUCAUUUGUUUAUUUAAUUACAUUGUCCGCUAAGAACAUGCUUCGGCCGAUCACAUUUGGGUAGGCAAGCCUUAGGAUUUUUGUUGGUUUUGAGGCAAGAGGUCGUUCCCUUAGUUACAUUUAUCCGGGGAAUGCCCCGAAGGACUUGCAUAUAUUUUAUUCCGGGGAAUGUCCCGAAGUACUUGUAUUUGGAGACCUAAAGUAGAACUCGUAGUAUUUUAUUUUCAUUUUUAUUUUUAGUUCUUCUUUUAUUAUGUGGGAACAACCUCGAGCCUCUUGUGUGUUUAUUUUUCCGUUUCUGUGUUUUUACCUUAAUUCGAAUAUCCUAAAAAGUCAACUUGAUCAUGUAUGCAACCGUGAUUUUUACGGGACUUGGGGAGUGACUAACACCUUUUCCCCGAGUCAAAUGACCCCCCUUACCUGAAUCUCUGGUGCGGACUUGGUUUUAGAGUCUGAAAUAUUUUAAGAGGAAAAAAUUAUUUUUAAAAAAAACGGUGACCUGGCACACCGAAAUCGAAGUCAGGUGGCGACUCUGAGUUAUUUCCUUUUGAACAAUCUUUUGUCACUUUCAAAAUUGAAAAGCCCUUUCGGACUUUGCGAAAUCCUUUUAUUAUUUUUAAGAGGGUUAGUGAGGUUUGGUUAAAAAGGGGGGUGUGACAUCUCUGGCGACUCUGCUGGGGACUUGCAGGUCCGAGCUAGUACUUGAUCUUGUUGGAUUUUAGGAUAUUCGGUUGAGGUUUUUAUGUGUUUCGUUUGUUUUAUUUGAUUUUAUUUUGUUUAUUUCGUUUUAUUUGCUAGUUACUUAUUUGUUUACAGUUUUUUUAAUGUGUUACUGCUUUAUAAACUGUCAUCAUUUGCAUAACCAUAGGUCUUCUUUCUGCAACAAGUCUCGGAGUACGUGUCGCGUGCACGAACACUUUGUUGAGUUACCCUUAAUUUAGGAGGGGGAGUUGUCGGACAUAUGGAGUGGAUGGAAAGCUUGAGCAGCCACCAUCGAUCAUACACUCCCCCGAAUUGCGUUGUUAGUGAACCCCAAACUUAGGUCAGCCUUUAGGUCAUUUUUAUUUGCAUCAUGUUAUUCGGACCUAGUAGGGCUCGGUCCCAGGCACAGUGUCCCUUUAUAGGAAGCCUAUCCAAAUUUUGUCAAAAUGGGCCCGUGGCCCAAAAAGACAUUCGAUCAUUCCCAUGUGAUAUAUGUUGCAUCUUUGAGGGUAAAAAGGUCAUUUGGCGGACCGAUGUUUGGGAAAGAAAGGUGAAAAUGAAGCAAGUAGGGCUCAGUUAUAUUUUUCUUUCACGACUUUUUCAAGAAAAUACAAAAGAAAUUUUAAAAUAGAAAAUCCAAAAAAAAAAAUUACACUUUUCCAUUAUUUUCCCAAAAAUUCAAAAAAAAAUGAAUAAAAAAUGAAAAAUCCAAAAAAGAUUUUACACUUUCACUAUUUUCCAAAAAAAUUCAAAAAUGAAAAUGAAAAAGAAAAUCCAAAAAGAUUUUACAUUUUCCAUCAUUUUCAAAAAAAAAAAAGACAAAAGACAAAAAAAAUAUUUUUCUAAAUUAGUGUCAUUUCUUAAGCUUUCUCCCAUAUCUAAUCUUCCCGAACUACGCGAACCUGAUUCUCGUCUUCUGGGGUGGGAUACGUAGGCAACCAACAUAGGGUCCGGUCUUCCUAGUAGGUCCUAGGUUCUUGGCUUCUGGGGUCGUAGCCAAAUCUUGCAUGUAUAGCCAUAUUUGACCACAUUGGCCGUUUUUGCAAAAUAGAAGUGUUUUAUCAAAGUAGUUUGUUAUCUCUUGUCUUAGGAUCUUGAGUCUACAAUAAAGUGUCCUCUUAAUUCUAAGGUUCAUUCCUGUCAAAUUUGCAUAUCUAGCCACUUUUGGCCACAUCGACCAUUCUUGCAAAGUAGGAUUAUUUUCGCAAGGGUGGCUCAAUUACCCAUGUCUUAGGAUGUUGAGUUUAUAACUCGGUGUCAUAUCACUUUAAGGUCCAAUCAUGGCGUGUUUGCGUCCCUAGCCACAUUUGGCCAGAUCAGCCAUGUUUGCAAAAAAAAGGGUCCAUUUCUGCAAAGUAAUCUUUAAGACCAUGAUUGUCGGUAUUAGAGUCAUGUAAGCUUUAAAUGGAGUAUUUCUCAUGCAUUAGGGGUCAACUUUGUCAAGUUUACGCUAAUAGCUACUUUCAGCCACUUAGGCCAUUUUGCAAAUAUAGCCAAGUUGUGUCCUGCAUUUGUCCACUAGGAAAUGUGUUAGGGUCACGUAGUGUCCCGAGUCGCUAACCAUGUUUGCUUCAUUUAGGUAUGGACCUGCUGAUUCAAUCCAAAGUGCUGAUGAUAGUAAAGAUUCCUAGGAAGUUGAUCAAGUGGUGGAAAAUGUUUUCAUCGUUAGAGCAGCAUUUGUUAAUGCAGAAAUUGGGCACUCUAACUUCCCUUCUUGAGAUCACACCCCUCCCAGACUUAGUGGAGGCGAUGCUAACUUAUUGGGAUCCGCAAAAUUUGAUUUUCAGAUUUGGAGAGUGUGAGAUGACUCCUACUUUGGCGGAAAUGUCUGGUCUCACUCGUUUAAGCUAUAUAGGCAAGGACACGAUACUUCCCCGAGACCACUCUAGUACAAGAUUCCUCAGCGACCUGGGCCUGAAAGAUAAUAAGCAUUUAAAAUGUCUUGAGCAGUCCUGGAUAUCCUUGGAUUAUUUGUUUGCUAGAUUUGGACCACAGGAUAGUUUUGGCAUCUUUUGGGAUGAGUUCUGCACAACCAAGGCAAAGUGGCAAAGACGUCGCCUCGAAGCUUUCAGCCUUGCUUUGUUGGGAUUAUUGGUUUUUCCAUUAGAUGAGAGGUAAAUUAGCACCCGUCUGCAGUUAGUGGUAAUGGCACUAUUUCAUGAGAGGUAACGCAAAACCGUUACUGUUGUGCCGAUGAUCUUAGCAGAGUUGUAUCGAGCCCUGAGUGAGGUUAGGGGAGGUGUCAGAUAUUUUGAAGGAAGUAACCUUUUGCUACAGUUGUGGAUGAUGGAGCAUUUGCACAGCGCUUCCUUACUUUGUCCCAUCGAGCGUGCCUUGAGGGAUCGGGUGGUAUGCAUCGAACGUAGGAUGAAAUCUCCUAGGUUUACAUACCCAGUAGGCGUCCUGGCUUGGAUUGAGUUCCUUGGUUCGAGGACAAAUGGGAAUGUUUUGUGGGCUUACAUUUGGCUACCUUUGGAUGAUAUCUUGGUAGGGUGCCUCAUGCAGCCUUUCCUGAUGCUGAUAGGACUUAAGUGUAUCAGACUGUAUACUCCCGUUAGGGUAAUGCGGCAAUUGGGCAGAAGACAAGAGGAGCCUCCAACUUUGAAUCUUCGGAGGCAUAUCAUAAAUUUUAGCAAAAAAGCGGCUGAUGAAAUCAAGUAUGUGCAAUACUGGAACAAUGCAAAGAGGAUGAAGAAAAAUAUAUUAGUAGACAACGUUGGUAGGCCGAGUGUACUCAGGAGUACUUGAUUUGGUUACAGUCCGUCCCGACAGGGGUCAACACCCCAUUGCCAGCACAACUUAGGGGUCGGGCAAUUCAGACAGAUGAUUUUGAGGAGGCAUCGGACCAAGAUCCCUGGGAUAAGCUUGAGUUGAUAAAGUCUCAGUUAGCGGGAUUGGCAGCGAACGUGGAGCAGCAUGGCCAGUAUUUGUUUAGGGUCGACAUUCAGGAUGCGGGGGCACACACCAAGGCCUUUAUUCCCAGCAUUGGUGUUUCUUUACGAGGCAUGUUACAGAGUUUGAGCAUGACGGACAGCCCAGGACCAUCCCUGUCAGGACAAUCGCAUUCAGGAGCAGCUUGAGGAGUCAUUCUAUUUAGGUGUUUUGAGAUUGUCUUAUGUUGUCUUUUUCUUUCGUGUCUUGUCUAGAAGUACCGAGUCCUUUAGGUAGUGUCAGAGUCUGUCGUAGUGUAGUUGAGUCUGUCAUGUCUUUCAUUAUCAUGUUUCCCUUUGUAUUUUAAUAUCAAAAUGUUUUAAAUGAAAAAUCCCAAAAAGAUUUUGUUUUCAAUUUAUUUUCCACCACUUCUCCAGAACUACGCUUGGUCUGAUUCAUGAGGGAUAUGAUACGUAGGCAACCCACAUCGGAUUCGAUCAAAUAAUUUUUGGUUCAAAAUAAAAAGAGAAAGAAAAAGAAAAGAGUGAUAAGAGGUGUUGGAAAAGAAAGAGAAGAAAGGAUUGAAAUGAGCAAAUUGGGAUGAUGCCAUAUAACCCUGCGACCCUCAAAGCCAUUUUAGAACCGUUAAUUGUUGCUAGGUGCAUUGCACGUAAUGUGAUAUUAUUAUUUGAUAAAUGCUCUAACGCUAACAUGGUGGUUUUGUGUUGUUAUCCUCUAUUAUCUCUAUUAAGUUUCAGGAAGGUGGUUAGUUUGUUGCCAUCCUGGCAAGUCAUCCAUACAACACCCGAUCAAAGCGACAAACAUUCAUGGUUAGCAAGGAAAUAGACACUGGAGUUGUAGACCCAACAAGGGAGAUUGUUGAGUUGGAAUCGGAACUGCAAGAGGAGGUUCGGAGGUUGAAGCAUCAGAUGGAAGAAAUGUAUCAAGCCUGGAUUAAGGGACAUCCUCCACCCUCGUUCCCUACCAACUACACAGAAAACCCUGCUUCCAUUCCACCACUCUCUCAAUCCCAGAUGACCAAUACCAUUGAUCUUUCCCCACAACAUGCACCUGGCUUUACCCCUUACCACAACUACCCCGGCACUUCAGCCCAAAUAGUUCAUGCUCCGCCAGCCAAAACAACCUCAUACCCUACUCCGACAUCUGCUCCUAUUUUUGUACCCCCUCCAUAAGCUACCCUCCACCGAUCCUCUAAUGAGCCCGCAUUCCCCGCUAUAGAUGCCCACUACUAUGCACCGGAGCCCACCUUCAAAGUCCUAGAUCCUUACUCUUACAAUCCCCAAUUUGAGCCUCAUGUUGAAACUGACAAACCACCUAAGAACGCAGAGCAAGAAGAGAUGUUUAGGAAGGUACAAAGUCUAGAGCAAUCAUUGAGAAAUAUGAAAGGGUUGGGAAACCAAGUGAGUGUGGCCUAUAAGGAUUUGUGUUUGUUCCCCGAUGUCCAAUUGCCUGCCGGGUUCAAGAUGCCCAAGUUUGACUUGUAUGACGGACAUGGGGAUCCUGUAGCUCAUCUAAGAGGUUAUUGCAGUAAAUGAGAGGCGCCGGGGGAAAAUAUGAAUUACUAAUGGCAUACUUCAGCCAAAGUCUGAGUGGGGCAUCUUAGAAUGGUACACCCGCCAGGACGCCAGCAGGUGGUACACCUGGGACGAUAUGGCUCAGGCCUUUGCCCGACACUUUCAGUACAAUAUAGACAUUGUUCCAGACCGCCUAUCUCUGACCAAGGUGGAAAAGAAACCCAGUGAAAGCUUUAGAGAAUAUGGGUUCCGAUGGAGGGAGCAAGCUGCACGAGUCAAUCCUCUGAUGGAAGAGGACGAGAUGGUUAAAUACUUUAUUCAAGCCCUGGAGCCCACUUACUAUGGCCACUUGAUCUCAGCCAUUGGUAAGUCUUUCAAUGACGUGGCGAAGAUGGGAGAAAUGGUGGAAGAGGGGCUCAAGUUGAGUAAGAUCAUGAGCUAUUCUGCUAUAAAAGCAACCACCCAGGCAAUCCAGAGUGGUACCGGAAGUUUGGUAGGCAAGAAGAAGAAGGAAUAUGUCGCUAUGUUUGUCUCCGCAUCAUGGCAUGGCCAGAGGGGUUCACCUCAUCAGUACACCCAUCCUCGACCCCGACCUCAAACCUACGCCUAAGCUCCAUAUAAUCCACCUCAACAUUACUUUUCCCCGCAAAACCCCCAAUACUCAGCCAGGCCAUCCCAAUACCUUGUUCACCAUACACAGUCAUAUGCUCAACCCCCUCUUUACCCGUAAUGGUGUGCUCCAGCUCCAAAAAAUAUCUACCCAGCUCCACAAAAUACCUAUCCACCCCUACAGCCCUAUCAAAACCCCACUGGUUCAAAUUUUCGAUCAAGGCCAGAGUAUAGGAGAGAGAGGCAACAACGAAAACAAACUUUUACCCCGCUUGGAGAGUCCUAUGCUAGUCUGUUUCAAAGGUUAAGGCAGUUGGAUGUCUUGAAGCCGAUUGAGUCAAAGAUACCAAAUCCCCCUCCAAAGAACCUCGAUUAUUCCCUAAGAUGCGCCUAUUGUUCUGAUGCUCUAGGGCAUGACAUAGAGAAGUGUUGGCAUUUGAAAUGGGCAAUUCAGGAGCUCAUUGAUACAAACCAAAUUAUAGUCCAAAGCUCAGAUACGCCAAACAUCAACCAAAACCCUUUGUCAACCCAUGCAAAGACACAUAUGAUUGAAAUAGUUCAUAAGGAUGGGGAGCCCAAGAAGUCUUCUAAGUCCGUCAUGAUGAUUCGGGCCAGUGAAAGAAAUUUGGUUAAAGCUCCAGACUCUACCAAAGCAAAGCUCUUGACAGUCGAAGGGGUGACAGAGAAGCCAAGUUCACUCAGUUCGAAACCACCAGUGUUGGUCGUGAAAGGGCUAUCGAAAGAUAUCAGGGCAAGUUUGGAAAGUUCAAAAGUGGUAGUACCAGGGAUUCCAAGUAAGCCUGUCAUAGUUGUGAAAGGGGCUCCUAUUACCACUAUCAUUAUUAGACCAGUAACCCAGCUGCUAGUGGUCGAUGCCAAGGCUGUUCCAUGGAAUUAUAAACAAGUGAUAGUGACAAACAAAGGAAAAGAAAUAAAGGAAGAAGUUAAUGAAACUGGAGGAUUGACUUAUUCUGGGAGAUGUUUCACCCAAGAAGAAUUAAGGAAAGCCAAGCCAUUCAAGGAUAGCCAAAUGCCAGUAAAGAAAUCGGUUACCGAGGAAGAGGCUGAGGAGUUCCUGCAAAAGAUGAAAGUGCAGGAUUAUUCCAUUGUGGGGCAGUUGAGGAAAACACCAGCUCAGAUUUCUCUUUUGUCUUUGUUGAUACAUUCAGAUGAACAUUGCAAGGUCUUGAUAAAGAUUUUGAAUGAGGCACAUGUUCCUGAUAAGAUCACAGUGAACCACUUGGAAAAGAUAGCUAGCGAGAUCUUCAAAGCAAACAGGAUCACUUUCUCGGACGAUGAACUUCCUAUGGAGGGAACAGAACACAACCGAGCUCUUUAUCUCACAGUGAAGUGCGAACAUUCUGUUGUCUCAAGGGUUUUGGUUGAUAAUGGAUCUAGUGCGAAUAUUUGUCCCUUGUCUACCCUACAAAAACUGAAGUUUGGCACCGAAAGAAUCCACUUGAAUAGUGUAUGUGUCCGAGGCUUUGAUGUGGGAGGCAAAGAUUCUGUUGGAGAUAUAAUGCUCGAAUUGUCGAUAGGUCCAGUUGAGUUUAUCAUGGAAUUCCAAGUGUUAGAUGUGACUGUCUCCUACAAUAUGUUGUUGGGCAGGCCUUGGAUACAUGCUGCUAAGGCAAUCCCAUCUUCUCUGCACCAAAUGGUGAAGUUUGAAUGGGACAUGCAGGAAAUAGUUGUGCACGGUGACGAAGACUUAUCAGCUUAUAAUGAUACAAUUGUUCUGUUCAUCGAAGCUGAAGAUGAUAAGGUACCUUGGGUCUAUCAGACUUUCGAAACAGUGUCUGUUGAGAAAAUUCCUGAGGGAAAAUGCAUUCCGGGUCCUAAGCUAUCCUCCGCGUCCGUCAUGGUUGCGAAGGAAAUGUUGAAGAAUGGUUUUGUACCAGGCAAGGAUUUGGGCCCAUCUCUGCAGGGUAUUGUGCAUCCAGUGCGCCCCAGUGGAAAUCCUGGUACAUUUGGUUUGGGAUUCAUGCCCACAGAGAAGGACAUGAAAAGGGUUAAAAAUCUGAAACAGAAGGUAUGGUCGCUCCCCAAGCCCGUCCCACACAUCUCUAAGUCUUUUGUCAAGCCAGGGAUCGAAAAACCUCCAACCUCCUCAAUCCCAAAACCUGUGGUCGAUGUUGAUGAAGAGCUGAUUAAGAGGUUCCAAAGUCUGUUCGAAGAGGUCAUUAUGGUAGAAGUUGGUGAAGGCUCUAGUAAAGCAAAUGUGCAGCUCGUUGGCCCAAACGUGAAGCUUAGAAAUUGGGAAGCCACUUCUCUCUCCACCAGGAAGGAGUUUUGGUAGUUUGCUUUGUUUUCCUUUCUGUUGUUUGGGUUAUUCCAGGGUUGUAAUACAUAUUUUUAGUUUUUUCUUGUUUUGAUGUUCAAACCCUUCUAUCCUUUUAUUUUCAAUGAAAUGAAAUUUUCCGUUUUCCGUUAUUCUUAAUAGUGUUUUAUUUUGUUCAUUUUUCUUUUGUACAGUUCUUUUUAUGCUGGUUGCAGUGACAUGAUAUGCAUGAAGAAUUUUCAGCCGAAUCUUAAAAGCCAAUCUAAUCCUGAAAUAACAAUCCAAGAAGUAGAAUCUGAUGAUGAAACAGAAUAUGAUGACAAAGCAGCAUUUGAGGAAAUCAGUAAAGAGCUAAAACAAUUUGAAGAAAAAAAAACUAAUUUGAGUGAGACCGAAGCAAUCAAUUUAGGGGACCAGGAUGAUGUUAGGGAAACCAAGAUAAGUGUGCAUUUAGAACCGCAAGUUAAGGAGGAAAUAAUCAAAAUAUUGUUUGAGUACAAAGAUGUCUUUGCAUGGUCAUAUGAUGAUAUGUCGGGCCUGAGCACUGAUCUGGUAGUUCAUAAAUUGCCAACUGAUCCAACAUGCCCUCCUGUCAAGCAAAAGUUGUGAAAGUUCAAGACUGAUAUGAGUGUGAAGAUCAAAGAAGAAAUCACAAAGCAACUUACUGCAAAGGUCAUUCGAGUCACUCGAUAUCCUACUUGGUUAGCCAAUGUUGUGCCAGUACCAAAGAAGGAUGGUAAGACCAGGGUCUGUGUUGAUUACCGUGAUCUUAACAAAGCAAGCCCGAAGGAUAAUUUUCCAUUGCGGAACAUUCACAUUCUGAUCGAUAAUUGUGCCAAGCAUGAGAUUGGGUCUUUUGUGGACUGUUAUGCGGGAUAUCACCAGAUCUUGAUGGAUGAGGAAGAUGCUGAAAAGACAGCAUUCAUCACACCAUGGGGAAGAUACUGUUAUCGGGUAAUGCCAUUUGGUUUGAAGAAUGCUGGGGCAACUUACAUGAGGGCAAUGACCACUAUAUUUCACGACAUGAUACAUAGGGAGAUCGAGGUUUAUGUAGAUGAUGUGAUCAUAAAGUCAAAGAAGUAGUCUGACCAUGUCAAGUACCUGAGGAUGUUUUUCCAAAGGCUCCGCAGGUACAACCUCAAGCUCAAUCCAGCAAAAUGUGCAUUUGGUGUCCCGUCUGGGAAACUGCUAAGAUUCGUGGUCAGUCGACGAGGUAUUGAGUUAGACCCGUCGAAGAUCAAAGCUAUUCAAGAGUUAACGCCGCCAAAGAACAAAACAGAGGUGAUGAGUUUGCUUGGAAGGUUAAAUUACAUCAGCAGGUUUAUUGCUCAGAUCACGACAACUUGUGAGCCCAUUUUUAAGCUGCUGAAGAAGAAUGUUGCGGUCAAGUGGACUGAUGAAUGUCAAGAAGCAUUUGAUAAGAUUAAGAUAUACCUGUCGAAUCCACCUGUAUUGGUCCCACCAGAGCCUAGAAGACCUUUAUUUCUCUCUUUGACAGUCUUGGAUAAUUCUUUUGGCUGUGUAUUGAGUCAACAUGACAUCACGGGAAAGAAGGAGCAAGCAAUCUAUUAUCUCAGUAAGAAGUUCACUCCCUAUGAGGUUAAGUACACUCUGCUUGAGAGGACAUGUUGCGCCCUGACUUGGGUGGCACAAAAGUUGAAGCAUUAUCUGUCGUCCUACACUACUUACCUCAUUUCCCACAUGGAUCCUCUAAAGUAUAUCUUUCAGAAGCCUAUGCCCACGGGAAGACUAGCGAAGUGGCAGAUUUUACUUACAGAGUUUGACAUCAUCUAUGUGACUCGGACCAUGAUGAAAGCCCAAGCCUUGGUCGACCACUUAGCCGAGAAUACGGUGGAUGAUGAAUAUGAGCCACUGAAGACUUAUUUUCCUAAUGAAGAGGUCAUGAGUGUUGACGAGAUUGACCAUGAUGAAAAGGCGGGUUGGAAACUCUUUUUUGAUGGAGUUGCUAACAUGAAAGGUGUCGGAAUAGGGGUUGUACUUAUCUCUGAAACAGGGCAACACUACCUUGUAACAGCCCAGCUUCGAUUUUAUUGCACCAACUAUAUGGCUAAGUACGAAGCAUGCAUUCUGGGUUUGAGGUUAGCUAUAGACAUGGGAGUCUAGGAAAUACUUGUUCCGGGAGAUUCAGAUUUGUUGGUUCACCAGAUUCAAGGAGAAUGGGAGACUCGAGAUUUGAAGCUCACACCGUACCGACAGUGCCUGCAUGAUCUUUGCCAAUGAUUCAGGUCGGUCGAAUUUAGACAUAUUCCCAGGAUUCAUAAUGAGAUUGUUGAUGCCUUGGCUACUCUGGCGUCAAUGUUACAUCAUCCAGACAAGGCUUAUGUUGACCCCGUGCAUAUCCAAGUUUAUGAUCAACAUGCUUAUUGUAAUGUGAUGGAAGAAGAAAUCAAUGGCGAACCUUGGUUCCACGAUAUCAAUGAAUACAUCAGGUUGGGGGUAUAUCCAUUACAUGCUACAGGUGACCAAAAGAGAACCAUUCGAUGUCUGGCUAGUGGAUUUUUUUUAGUGGAGGAAUCUUGUACAAGAGGACUCCGGACUUAGGACUGCUGAGGUGCAUAGAUGCUAAAGAAGCUUCAACUAUCAUGGCUGAAGUACAUUCUGGAGUUUGCGGGCCGCAUAUGAACGAGUAUGUUUUGGCAAAGAAGAUACUUUGAGAAGGUUAUUAUUGGCUCACCAUGGAACGGGAUUGUAUCAAUUUUGUUCGCAAAUGUCAACAAUGCCAGGUACACGGUGAUUUAAUUCAUUCUCCCCCAUCCGGGUUACACACAAUGGCUGCACCUUGGCCCUUUGUUGCUUGGGGCAUGGAUGUUAUUGGACCAAUUGAGCCGGCAGCGUCAAGCGGGCAUAGAUUCAUUCUGGUGGCCAUUGAUUACUUUACCAAGUGGGUCGAAGUUGUAACUUUCAAGUCCGUGACCAAGAAGGCAGUAGUGGAUUUUGUUCAUUCAAAUAUCAUUUGUCGGUUUGGAAUUCCCAAGGUGAUCAUCACAAACAAUACUGCUAAUCUAAAUAGUCAUUUGAUGAAAGAGGUAUGCCAACAGUUCAAGAUCAUGCAUCGGAACUCCACCCCGUAUCGCCCCAAGGCAAAUGGAGUUGUUGAGGUUGCUAACAAGAACGUAAAGAAGAUACUUCGUAAGAUGGUUCAAGGUUCUAGGUAGUGGCAUGAAAAGUUGCCUUUUGCCUUACUGGGUUAUCGCACUACUGUUCGCACUUCAGUAGGUGCAACUCCUUAUCUGAUGGUAUAUGGAACUGAGGCAGUUAUACCUACAGAAGUUGAGAUUUCAUCCCUUCGGAUCGUUGCAGAAGCUGAAAUUGAUGAUGAUGAGUGGGUCAAAACCCGGCUAGAGCAGUUGAGUUUGAUUGAUGAGAAAAGAUUGGCUGCAGUAUGUCAUGGUCAAUUGUAUCAGAAGAGAAUGGAUAGAGCAUACAACAAAAAGGUGCGUCCUCGAAGAUUUGAAGUGGGCCAGAUGGUAUUGAAACGCAUCCUUCCUCAUCAGGUGGAAGCCAAAGGCAAGUUCGCCCCAAACUGGCAGGGGCCAUUCGUUGUGACAAGAGUGUUGCCCAAUGAUGCUUUGUAUUUAACAGACAUAGAAGGCAAAUAUGUAGAUAUGACUAUCAAUUCUGAUGCAGUUAAGAGGUACUAUGUAUGAUUUCUUUGCUUACCUUCAGUUGUAUUUUGUACUUGGCAUGUUCAAAAAUGAAAUGACGAGGGCAUUUUGUUCCGCUACCCAAACACUUCCAUCCUUUGUUACCCCUUUUGAGCUUUAUUUAUUUUCUUUCAUACCCCUCUUUUGGAAUUAAUAACAGAAUUAGAGAACUAAAAAAAUGAAUGAAUGAAUGAAAAAUAAGAAGAAUGAAAAAGAAAGAAAAAGAAGAAGAAAAAAGAGAAAAGAAAAAAAAGAAAGAAAGAAGAGAAAAAAAAGAAAAAAAGAGAAAAAAAGAAAUAAAAAAAAAAAAAGAAGAAAAAAAGAGAGAGAAAAAACAACUUCCUUUUGAACUACGUUCGACCUGAUUCCUUUUAAGGAUACGUAGGCAGCCUUACGGUUCGGUCUCAUCAAAAGAAAAUUUAAAAUUCCCCAGACCCAAAGAAACUGGGGCAGAAGUUUUGGUUUUGAAAAGAUCUGAUUCCAAAAGUUGUAAUUUUGACCCCUUUUCAUCUUAAGUUAGUUUGAGCCUUCAUGCCACCCUUUCUUUCUAACCUUGUCCAAAAGCCUACAUUACGAUCCAAAGAAAGACCUUUCGAUCAAUCUUUGAGGAUGCCAGGUCAAGCGAGAUAGAGGUAUGAUUUACAUCAUGGGUAACACUUUGUUCAUGGGCGCAGGAGAGAAAAUUUAAAAUGAGAGAGUCUUAUUGGUGAAAACCCCCACGGGCACCAUAAAGGCGAUGGUGAGUUGAGAGAAAAUUUAAAAUGAGAGAUUCUUAUUGGUGAAAACCCUCGCGGGCACCGUAAGGCGAUGGUGAGUUGAGGGAUGAACAAAUGAGAGAGGCUUGUUGGUGAAAACCCUUCAGGGCACUACAAGUCGAAUGAGGCUCAUGACUUUACAGAGAAAUUGGACCAUUGAAAGCCCGGUUUUUAAAGUAUGAAGACAUGACAUGAACUGAAAAUAUGAUUGGUUGGACGGAUUAGGCUGAUCAGUCCAAAUUGCAUGUCAUGAUCAUUGGAGCUGGCUGCUUCCCUCAGAUAAGUCUUCUUUUCUCAUUCUUCUUCAUAUAGUCAUCUCUGCUCAAAAUUUUCCUUUGUUCCUUUUGUCAAAAAUUAUUCACUUUGCUCUUUGAGUCUAUCUUAAUGGGUCUCUUUUGAGUCAGCCCUUGUUGAACAAGCAGGAAAGGAUUUCAUAGCCUACUACCAGCUUCUAAAUUGCACAAAACGGAGUCCGGCCAGACACAUCACAAUUGACUUGAUUUUGAAUAAGCAGUAUGGUGAUAACUGAGGUUCAGGCAAUCAUGUGAAUCUUGAAUUUUGAGAAAAUAGAAGGAUUCAACAACUUUCAAAAUGAAAACACAAUGUGACAAGUGAGUGUGAGAGAUUCAGGUCAUGCAGAGAUUUUGUGGUCCAGUUCUAAUCAAAAGGUCAAACAACUUCUUGCUAUCCCAAAGCAGCUAAUCAGAAUGAAGCAUUGCAGUAGCGGAAGCAGACACUCAGCAAGAAUGUCACAAACUAACCACCCCAUUUUCAAACUAACAAGAUUUUAUUUGUCUGAAACAUGGGCAAGAAAAUUUUUAAAUCCACAGGGACCUCCCAUGAAAAAGCAUGGUCCAGGGAGCAAGAAAUUAUGUUCAGAAUCCUCAAAGAUGAGAGCAUGGCUCAGGUAAGUUCAUUCUAGUUUUCAGGACCCUCCUGGAUAAUGGGAUUUAAUUUAAAAUUUUCAGGACCCUCCUGGAUAAUGGGAUUUAAUUCAAAAGCUUNNNNNNNNNNNNNNNNNNNNNNNNNNNNNNNNNNNNNNNNNNNNNNNNNNNNNNNNNNNNNNNNNNNNNNNNNNNNNNNNNNNNNNNNNNNNNNNNNNNNNNNNNNNNNNNNNNNNNNNNNNNNNNNNNNNNNNNNNNNNNNNNNNNNNNNNNNNNNNNNNNNNNNAAAGCUUUUAAUUUAAAAGUUUUCAGGACCCUCAUGGAUAAUUUGAUUUAAUUUAAAAGCUUUCAGGAUCCUCCUAGAUAAUGGGAUUUAAUUUUAAAAGUUUUUAGGACCCUCCUUGAUAAUGGGAUUUGAUUUUAAAAGUUUUCAGGACGCUCCUGGAUAAUGGAUUUAGUAUUUAAAUUUUCAGGACCCUCCUGGAUAAUGGGAUUUAAUUUUAAAAGCCCUCAGGAACCUCCUGGAUAAUGGGAUUUAGUUUUUAGAUUUUUAGGACCCUCCUGGAUAAUGGGAUUUAAUUUUAAGUUUUAGCGUAAGUUCUCCCUUUAGAAAAUAUAAUUUAGCCUUAAAGUUAUCACUCUUAAGAUGAGAUUCAAUUUGAAGUUUUCAGGGCCCUCCUGGAUAAUGGGAUUUAGCUUUUAAAUUCUUAGAGCUCUGUAGGUAACAUGAUCCAAUUAACACUCACAAAUAUGCCUAGAUCCCAAACUGGGGCAGAAAAAUUUCUUUUGUUUUGACUGUUUUGUAGCAAUCAGGCACCCAACUGGAUAAUGAGGGAAUACAGUUUUAAGUUUUAGCAAUCAGGUGCCCACCUGGAUAACGAGGGAAUACAGUUUCAAGUUUUAGCAAUCAGGCGCCCAACUGGAUAACGAGGGAACACAAUUCAAGUUUUGGAAAUCAGGCACACACCUGGAGAACGAGGGAACUCAUUUUAUACCAAAGUCAAGCUAUUGGCAGGCGCCCACCUGGAGAACGAGGGAAUUCAUUUCAGAGUUACUUCAAUUCGCAAAUUCAAGAAGUAUCAGGAGCCCGCCUGAAGAACAUGGUUCAUUUUUCAGUUGCAUAUUGAAGAUCAAGUAGAGAUUCACGGAAGAUUCAAGAUAAGAAGUAGAUAGGAUCUUGUAUUUUCCUUUUACUUUUGCUGUAAUUUUUCCUUUUAUUUUUUAUGUAAUGGCAGGAACCGCGGACCGGAACCUCGACGACACUUCACUCGACUCUCCACCUCGGUACUCCAUUGCUCCUCACACUCUGAGCUACACGUGACCUGAUUCCUUUAUAGUCAAGGAUAUGUAGGCAGCUCAGAUACCAGGGCUCGGUUACAAUCUUUUUUAGCCAACUUUAUUUUCUUUUGAAUAAGUGUCGGGUCAUAAAUCAAUUACGUUGCUUAUUGUUCUUUGCUCCGAAAACUCUUUGUGUUUCCAAACAAAGAGGGACAGCUGUAAGACGUAAUUUUUGACCCACGCAUUAGAAUUACCUUUAAUGGUCCUAGUAUUUUUAGGAUAUCUAUUUAAACUUAUUUCUAUAAGAUUUCACUUUAUUAUUAAAUUCAAUAUAAAAGAAUACAAAAAUAAUAAUAAAUAUAUGUAUAUAGUUUCAUGUUUUAUCUUAUUUCUAUUUAGUUUAGGCUAUUAAGAUUUUUAUAGCCAUAUAUUUUAUUUUACUAUGAUUUUCACUCUUACUUUUUAUUUUAUAUAAAACAUGAUAUAUUAAAAAAUAUAUAGUUUCAUAUUAUUACAUAGUUUAUUUAAUUAAUUGAAAUUAGUUUAGUUUUAAUUUAAAAAAGAUUGGGUUGGCUAUUUAAUGGACUUUUAAAAAUUGAAGAAGUACAAAAUCUUGGCCCAAUUUUACACAAGUAGAAGCCCAAAAUCGGGCAGCCCAUUCCCUUCCUUAACCCCAAUCCUUUGACCCGCCGGAUCGACCCAUCUACCUGCCCAUUUUACCCUUUAAUCUCGGCCAUCCAUUCACCAAAUCCAACGGCCCACAUUAUAUCCACACACCCAAAUACAAACUCAGUUAUAUCACUCCAACCCCUAACCCUAAAGACUAAACCAGCCGCACCCUCUUCUCCCUCACACCUUCUGCUGCCAUAACCCAGCACAAACCUCACCAUAAAUGAACCCUCAUGGUCCCCCCUCCUCUCCUUUCUCUCUUCCACGUCCUCAAAACCAUAUUGAUCUCUGUCAGAAGAAGAUAUUUCAUUUUUCCCCUUUCCACGCGCUCUUGCUUCCCUUGGAUGGAAUUCGGAUUAAUGGUAGACGUAGGAUUUGAAAACUUUAAAUCCUAGUCUUCCAUUUGUCUCAGAACCAUCCAGAAACAAGAACAAGAGGGGAUUUUCGUUUGGGGGCAGGGGAAUUUCUGAAUUUAUUGAAGGGCAAAUUCGGGUUUUUAGAGAGAUUUCUUGUUGGAGAAGGAGAAGCUUCGAGAGGAAGCUAUAUAUUUGGGGUCUGGACAGAGAUGGGUUUUUUUUUCUUUUUUUGGGUUUUGUUUUUUUCGGAGAAAAUUGACGAAAAGAGAGGAGGCUUUGUUCUUAGCUUUUGGAUUUUUGUUUCCUGUUUUCCUUUGAAUUCCAUAGAGAAGAUAUAAAAAAAUACCAAAAAAUUUUAAUUCUGUCGUUUUUCUUAAUUUGUUACAAAGGCCAGAAAAUUCAAAAAGAAAGGGUUUCGUUCUUCUUCUGAAAUUCAACUGAGGUAUUAGGAGUUUGAUUGACUGGACUUGCCGUUCGAAGUCGAGUUCGCGGUUCCUGUUCAAUCUAGUUGCUGCUUUUCUCGUUCGGAUUUUGGAUUCAGAGCAUUGUAGCUGGUUCUCUUAAUUAUCCGCUAUUAAGAAGGAACUCGCAUUCUCAGGUUCAUUCCCAUUAUCCCAUCUAUCUUAGUUUUCAUUGCAAAUUUAGCCGGAAGAGCCAUUUUGAGACCGGUUUGUUGGUAUCAUGUUUUAAUCAAUUAGAUAUAGAGUUAUGUUAGCAGGGGUUUGUUAAUCCCGUUUCGAUUUAAUCUGUGCCAUUGUGAUUGUUAGUCUCUUUCAGUAGCUUGUUCGUAUUUUGGAAAUGAAUUGUGUUUCAAUUUUCUUGGAUCUUAUACUGUCGUAAUGUUAUCAUAGAGAGUGUUGUGCUUGAUUGUUUGAAUAUUGUUCCAAACAUAGUGUCGAUAAUGACUAUUCUUUCAAAGUUAAGCAAAGUUCUAAUACCUUGGACCUAUCUCACAAAGUUCCGUUAAGAUUUAAGCUACUUGCCAUGAUUUGCUCAUUUUAGACAUAGACAAAUGAUAUGUAAAGCAAGCUUCUGCAGCUAUGUAUGUGUUCAGUGCUGCUCUGGAUUGAAUACAACUAUCUGUUGAUGUUGCUGAUGACACUACGUGAAGUGUCUUACUUUUUCAUUUAAUUUAAGCCCUCGUCAUACCCUACCAUUUACUUAACGUCUCUUGAACUUUCUGUUAAAAACUAUUAUGGAAACAUAUGGAACAGUGACAUUUAACUUGCCUAAUAUAUGUUCUAGUUAACUUCUGAAUGAGUAUUACGUGAACAACAUUUAAAAUGGAUUUGUUUAGUCUUAUGAAAGUUCUGGGCGGGUUAGCAAUCUUUGAAUGGCUCUUCCAAAUGGCUAUAAUUUGCAUUUCUUUAACUCGUAGUAACUAUUAUUUUAGUUUUGUUUAGUUCAUAUUUUCUAUGAAUACUCAAUACUUUAUGUCAGAUGAUUUGUCUUGUUAAUUACUGUUGUUUGACUGUGAGUUCGAUUGAAUUAUGGAUAUUGGGACCGUGGGAAUGGGGAAAGGCCGAAUCCCAUUAGCAAUUGAUUUGUCUCCAUGCUUUAGUUACUGGGCUCGGUCUAAUUAUAAAAAUGAGAAGUUGAGAAAGGAAUGAGCAUGAUUUAGAAUUUUCUUCUACCUUAUUUAGUUUUCUUUCAUUUGUUUAUUUAAUUACAUUGUCCGCUAGGAACAUGCUUCGGCCGAUCACAUUUGGGUAGGCAAGCCUUAGGAUUUUUGUUGGUUUUGAGGCAAGAGAUCGUUCCCUUAGUUACAUUUAUCCGGGGAAUGCCCCAAAGGACUUGCAUAUAUUUUAUUCCGGGGAAUGCCCCGAAGUACUUGUAUUUAGAGACCUAAAGUAGAACUCGUACUAUUUUAUUUUCAUUUUUAUUUUUAUUUCUUCUUUUAUUAGGUGGGAACAACCUCGAGCCUCUUGUGUGUUUAUUUUCCCGUUUCUAUGUUUUUACCUUAAUUCGAAUAUCCUAAAAAGUCAACUUGAUCAUGUACGCAACCGUGAUUUUCACGGGACUUGGGGAGUGCCUAACACCUUCUCCCCGAGUCAAGUGAACCCCCUUACCUGAAUCUCUGGUGCAGACUUGGUUUUAGAGUCUGAAAUAUUUUAAAAGGAAAAAAUCAUUUAAAAAAACGGUGACCUGGCACACCGAAAUCGAAGUCAGGUGGCGACUCUGAGUUAUUUCCUUUUGAACAAUCUUUUGUCACUUUCAAAAUUGAAAAACCCUUUCGGGCUUUGCGAAAUCCUUUUAUUAUUUUUAAGAGGGAUAGUGAGGUUUGGUUAAAAAAGGGGGUGUGACAAGUAGUACUUAUGGAAAUUGUAAUCUACAUUAUUUUGCCAAGGGGCAUAAAUCACAGCCACUAACUUCACUACUGCUAAUUUUAUUCUUUAUGCUUGGAAUUUGCUGAACAGUCCUCAUGGCUGCAUGUCCCAACCUCAGAUAUCAAAGACUAGAUUCUAAUUCGUUUCUCUAAAUUACACCAGCUAACAUUGACAUUGCUGCUUUCUUAUUCAACAAGUACAAGCCUGCUGGCUCUUUACCAAUCCUCGGUACCUUCCCACUUAAGAGUUCCUGAAACAGACAGAAAUUAGGGUAGAAGCUAACCCAACAUCUGAGAUCCCUAGUAAGCUUUGACACUAACAGUAGAUUGAACUUAAAAUCAAGUACGUGUAACACAUUCUUUACCUACUGAUCUGCUAAAAUGUAUGCAUUUUCAGUAUGUUCUAUCUUUGCUCUUAUUCUAGUUGGUAAUUGCACUCCUUGUUACUCUGAUCCUCCAUACUCUUAACAUUACUCAGGACCUCUUUAUUGUGAGUAACGUGAUGUAUAACUCCUGAAUCUAUUAUCCAAUCUACCAUUGAAGCACUAGAAAAUAGGAAAAUUAUAUUUGUAAUGUUGGAUGAGCAUUGUCCAACUUGUGGUUUGUUUAGUAGUCCCACUAGCUGAUUCUAUUGAUCCUCAGUUAGCACAUGUCCUUAAAAUUGAUUCACAGUUGACCCCAACUCUUCAGUGCUCGCUGCAUUAGCAUAGGUCUUUGGUCCUCCACUCUGAAACUUCUUUUUGCUUUUGAAAUCUGCUCGAUAACCAAUAUUUUGUAGCAAUUUUCUUUCAAGUGUCCUUUUGUAGCCACAGAGCUCACAGACCAACCCAAACUUCUUAGGCUUGAAUCACUGAGUCAUUCCUGCCAUCAUAGUGAGGGGAUGUCUGUUUGUGUCACCAACUCUUAGUGAUCUCUGACUUUCCUCCUGAAUUACUAUUGCAUAGGCCUCGUUUACUGAAAUAACUAGUCUCCUCAUGAGAAAAUUGCUCCUAACAUUGUUAUAGAUCUCAUUCAGACCCUUAAGAAACUACAGUAGCCUAAUUUUCUCUAGAAGUUCAAGUGAAAGUCUAGACUCCUCACAAUCACAGGAAGACUUAGGGGCUAGCACAUUUAAUUCAUUCCACGAAUUACUCAUUCUAGAAUAAUAGGUUGUUACUGAAUAUGUACCUUGUUUUAGAGUAGCUAUUUCUAUCCAUAAGUGAUAAAUUCUCGUUAAACUGCAUCUGUCAAACUUCUCUUUGAAAUCACUCCAUACUUUCUUUGCAUUUGAUGCAAACACAAUUCCCGGCAUCAAUUCAUUUGCAACUGUGCUGCCAAUCCACGAGAGCACAAUUGCAUUAUAUUUCUCCCACUGUUCUGCGAGCUCUCCUUUAUACAUAAGUUUGACACAUGUUCCAUCCACAAAUCCCAGCUUACAUUUUACCCUCAGAGCUAAUUUCACCGCCCUGCUCCACAAGGCAUAAUUUUUUGGCCCUGUGAGCUUUAUUAGGACUAAUACUAACCUAGGAGCAUCCGAAGCUUAAAGAAAGAGUGGAUUAUUGUGUUCAAGUAGAGUUACCUCAUUUCCUGCCAUGUCUAUCAAGUGUGAGCUCCGUCAGAACUUGAUUAUCUAGGAAUUCUUCUCCAAUUGUCGGAAUCUUAGUCGGAACCCUAAUUGUUAGAUCGCGUCUCUAAUACCAUGUCAAAUUGAGCUAAAUUGAGGGAGCUAAUACACAUUCCUACACAUGCAAACAUGUAUCCUUCUCAUUGAUUCAAUUAUCAACUGAAUGUAGCAAAUUUACAGAGAAGAGGAAGAAGAAGACUAGAGAGAGAAAUUGAGAUCGGUAUAUUCUAGAAUCUCUAUGUUUCUAACUAACUAAUUAAUACAGAGAUUAUAAUAUAUAUUCUUAUACACCGUCUUUCUCCUCUACUUUGUUUAUUUACAAAUUGCCUUCUUUCAUUUACUUCUAUCUCCUACUUAGUCCCUAUUGUUGUAAUACUGCAUAGCUUCAUAACUGUUAAUAACUCUUUCUUCAAUUGCAUAAGCUAGUUUGAACUGAACAACAUUAGACUUUUGAGGUUGGUAUUGUUGGUGAUAGAAAUUUAUACUAUUAGUUGUUUUAACAGCAGCAGCAGAAGGAGGAACACUAGGCCUUCCUUUACUUCUUCCAUAGAAUUGUUCAUCUAG
rnacentral:lncRNA from 1 species